rnacentral:rRNA from 1 species
UGGCGGCGUGCUUAACACAUGCAAGUCGAACGAUGAUGCCCAGCUUGCUGGGUGGAUUAGUGGCGAACGGGUGAGUAACACGUGAGUAACCUGCCCCUGACUCUGGGAUAAGCGUUGGAAACGACGUCUAAUACUGGAUAUGAUCACUGGCCGCAUGGUCUGGUGGUGGAAAGAUUUUUUGGUUGGGGAUGGACUCGCGGCCUAUCAGCUUGUUGGUGAGGUAAUGGCUCACCAAGGCGACGACGGGUAGCCGGCCUGAGAGGGUGACCGGCCACACUGGGACUGAGACACGGCCCAGACUCCUACGGGAGGCAGCAGUGGGGAAUAUUGCACAAUGGGCGAAAGCCUGAUGCAGCAACGCCGCGUGAGGGAUGACGGCCUUCGGGUUGUAAACCUCUUUUAGUAGGGAAGAAGCGAAAGUGACGGUACCUGCAGAAAAAGCACCGGCUAACUACGUGCCAGCAGCCGCGGUAAUACGUAGGGUGCAAGCGUUGUCCGGAAUUAUUGGGCGUAAAGAGCUCGUAGGCGGUUUGUCGCGUCUGCUGUGAAAUCCCGAGGCUCAACCUCGGGCUUGCAGUGGGUACGGGCAGACUAGAGUGCGGUAGGGGAGAUUGGAAUUCCUGGUGUAGCGGUGGAAUGCGCAGAUAUCAGGAGGAACACCGAUGGCGAAGGCAGAUCUCUGGGCCGUAACUGACGCUGAGGAGCGAAAGCAUGGGGAGCGAACAGGAUUAGAUACCCUGGUAGUCCAUGCCGUAAACGUUGGGCGCUAGAUGUAGGGACCUUUCCACGGUUUCUGUGUCGUAGCUAACGCAUUAAGCGCCCCGCCUGGGGAGUACGGCCGCAAGGCUAAAACUCAAAGGAAUUGACGGGGGCCCGCACAAGCGGCGGAGCAUGCGGAUUAAUUCGAUGCAACGCGAAGAACCUUACCAAGGCUUGACAUACACCGGAAACGGCCAGAGAUGGUCGCCCCCUUGUGGUCGGUGUACAGGUGGUGCAUGGUUGUCGUCAGCUCGUGUCGUGAGAUGUUGGGUUAAGUCCCGCAACGAGCGCAACCCUCGUUCUAUGUUGCCAGCGGGUUAUGCCGGGGACUCAUAGGAGACUGCCGGGGUCAACUCGGAGGAAGGUGGGGAUGACGUCAAAUCAUCAUGCCCCUUAUGUCUUGGGCUUCACGCAUGCUACAAUGGCCGGUACAAAGGGCUGCGAUACCGUAAGGUGGAGCGAAUCCCAAAAAGCCGGUCUCAGUUCGGAUUGAGGUCUGCAACUCGACCUCAUGAAGUCGGAGUCGCUAGUAAUCGCAGAUCAGCAACGCUGCGGUGAAUACGUUCCCGGGCCUUGUACACACCGCCCGUCAAGUCAUGAAAGUCGGUAACACCCGAAGCCGGUGGCCUAACCCUUGUGGAAGGAGCCGUCGAAGGUGGAUUCGGU